rnacentral:rRNA from 1 species
AUUGAACGCUGGCGGCAUGCCUUACACAUGCCAGUCGAACGGCAGCUCGGACUUCGGUCUGGCGGCGAGUGGCGAACGGGUGAGUAAUGUAUCGGAACGUACCAUUCAGUGGGGGAUAACGCAGCGAAAGUUGCGCUAAUACCGCAUAUUCUGUGCGCAGGAAAGCAGGGGAACGCAAGACCUUGCGCUGAUUGAGCGGCCGAUAUCAGAUUAGCUAGUUGGUGAGGUAAAGGCUAACCAAGGCGACGGUCUGUAGCGGGUCUGAGAGGAUGGUCCGCCACACUGGAACUGAGACACGGUCCAGACUCCUACGGGAGGCAGCAGUGGGGAAUUUUGGACAAUGGGCGCAAGCCUGAUCCAGCCAUGCCGCGUGAGUGAAGAAGGCCUUCGGGUUGUAAAGCUCUUUCGGCCGGGAAGAAAUCGUAUGGGUUAAUACCCUGUGUGGAUGACGGUACCGGAAUAAGAAGCACCGGCUAACUACGUGCCAGCAGCCGCCGUAAGAC